GAUGAACGCUGGCGGCGUGCCUAAUACAUGCAAGUCGAGCGAACAGACGAGGAGCUUGCUCCUCUGACGUUAGCGGCGGACGGGUGAGUAACACGUGGAUAACCUACCUAUAAGACUGGGAUAACUUCGGGAAACCGGAGCUAAUACCGGAUAACUUGUUGAACCGCAUGGUUCAACAGUGAAAGACGGUCUUGCUUUCACUUAUAGAUGGAUCCGCGCCGCAUUAGCUAGUUGGUAAGGUAACGGCUUACCAAGGCAACGAUGCGUAGCCGACCUGAGAGGGUGAUCGGCCACACUGGAACUGAGACACGGUCCAGACUCCUACGGGAGGAAGCAGUAGGGAAUCUUCCGCAAUGGGCGAAAGCCUGACGGAGCAACGCCGCGUGAGUGAAGAAGGUCUUCGGAUCGUAAAACUCUGUUAUUAGGGAAGAACAAAUGUGUAAGUAACUAUGCACGUCUUGACGGUACCUAAUCAGAAAGCCACGGCUAACUACGUG
rnacentral:rRNA from 1 species